ACGAAGGGUGCAAGCGUUACUCGGAAUUACUGGGCGUAAAGGGCGCGUAGGCGGUUCGCUAAGUUGGAUGUGAAAACUCUGGGCUCAACCCAGAGCCUGCAUCCAAAACUGGCGGGCUAGAGUUCUGGAGGGGAUAGCGGAAUUCCUGGUGUAGCGGUGAAAUGCGUAGAUAUCAGGAGGAACACCGGUGGCGAAGGCGGCUAUCUGGACAGAGUCUGACGCUGAGGCGCGAAAGCUAGGGGAGCAAACAGGA
rnacentral:rRNA from 1 species